AUUUAGUAUGUGUACCUGUAAUAAAUAUGGACCAUCAGCAAAUUGUAUGUAGUAGGCUUUAGGUGGGCAUCUUGUGAGUUACGGUUUGCCAAUAAAGAAACCUAUCUAAUGUU